CAGAAACCAACACCCCCCCUGAGACCAUCAGCACCACUUCCCCCUCGGUAAUCAACACCAAUAUCCCCCCUGAGCCCAUUUACACUGCAACCCACCCUGAAAUUAUUGACACCCCUGCUAUCGAGACCAACACAAUUCCACCUAUGUUGCCAAUUAACGCUUCCCCCCUUAAUUACUCCAGUCCCUUUGGCACCCAAGUUACCACCAACAUUACAGAGGCCAACACCCCCCUACCAACCUUACCUGGGACCAGUACGGGUUUUUGCUUGAAUACAUCAGCUCAAACCUUCAUUCCCUCUUCCACCUUUCAUUCAGAAAGCAGUUCCACAUCGGGACAAACGCAUUUGUCUCAGCAAUGUCAGAAUCCUACAAAUUUAUCAACAGGUUUCCCUGCAUUUGCAAUGCCAAUGGGAUCAAAUCUGCCAAGAGUGGCAUCCAGCUAUUAUAGCAACCAC